UGGGCGGGCGUGGAAACGAGAGGGGUGGGGGGAUCUCUGCCUCCCUCCCUUCAUCGCCCGCUGCCACUACGUUGCGAAGGCAAACAGGCGUGGGGGGUGGGAGGGGAGGGAAGGGGAGGGGCCCCCUCCUUCCCUUUAAAUCUCCCCAUCCCUGCCGUGCACACAUGGGCGAGGGGAGCGCAAAACGCGUCGCGCGCGGGACCGCCGAGAAGGCAGAGCGCUUUCCCACGAGCAAAAGCACACGGGGGGGGAAUAUUUUUCCCCGGGGCGGGGGGGCGGGGGGAGAAGACAGGGGGGCUUCCUCCUGCAGCUGCUGACCCCUCCCCUAUUCAGAGCCCCCUAGCUUUCUGUCAUUCCCCGCCCCCCUGUUUCCACCCCCCCACCCCGUUAAAGCAGCAAUACUUAGAUACAAGCAUCUUCUUCUUCUUCCUCCUCCUCCUCUUUCCCCAGGGAGCGCACGCAGGGGCGCAGCAGCGGCCGCCGCCGCUCCCGGGUUUCCUCCUCCGCGAUCCACACGACCGACGGGCACGCCGAGCGGCGGAGGAGGCUGGAGGGGAGGGAAAGAGGGGGGAGGGAAAGAGGGGGAGAGGGAGGGACUCGGGCGGGCAGUGGGGGGGUCAUCGCCGCCGUCCCUCGCCGCCCUCAGACCCCCCCCUCCCUCCCCAGGAGGCCCGAUCCGAUCCGGUCCGGUCCAGCGGCAGACAGAGCGAUUGCAGAGAAGGAAGACGGCGCCGCCGCGGGGAACGAAGCGCGCGGGGACCGAGGCGAUGCCGCCCUCGCCCGGCGCGGGUGCGGACGAGGCGCGGAGCCGUGGGGUGGGGUUUGGGGGUGGGGGGAGGGGAGAGAGAGAGAGAGAAAGAGGGACGGGGAAGCAGGCGGCGGUGGGGCGCGCGGAGCGUUUACCUACCGGCGGCGGCGGCGGCUUUGGCGCGGAGGGAGGGACGAGCGCGCGGCGAGGCGGUGCAGACGCGGGCGCCCCCGCCGUCUCCUCCCACUCGCCGGGCGGAAAGGGGGGUUAAGGGGCCCGGCAGGCGGGCGGGUCAGCUGACGAGCCCGCGCCAAGCAGAAGUCGUUCGAGGCUGGGUUGGGGAAAGAGGAAAGAAAAGNAAGGCAGAGCGCCCCUGA
rnacentral:lncRNA from 1 species